GGUUAUCUAGCUCAACGGUAGAGUGCCCGCUUAAUGUGAGAUACGUCCGAUGUAGUUGACCGGGAGGUUGAGGGUUCGACUCCCUGGGUAGCCA